rnacentral:lncRNA from 1 species
GGACAAACAAAAAUAAAAAUCUAGUUACAUAGGUACGAAAUCAAUUCAUCAUCUGUGACAUCUACCCAUCCUGUGAUUCCAAAUCAACAGAUUUAUUGAUCAACUCAUGAGUUGAGUAAACUAAUCGAAUGAAAAUAUUUUCAUUUUUUUAUUUUAAUAAUUAAUAAAAAGCUCUAUCCUUUUACUGGACGACUAAUUAAUUCAAUUCUUGAAAAU